rnacentral:tRNA from 1 species
UGGGAAGUUGGGUAAUCGGUAACCUCCUACAUUUGGGAUGUAGAUAUUGCCAGUUCGAGUCUGGUCUUCCCAA